AUAUCAAAUUUAUCCAUCUAUUUUAUAUUAAAAUUUAAAUUUAAUAUUGUAGAUAUUUUCUAAUAAAAUGUAACAUAUAAAUUUAGAAAAUAUUUUAUUCUAAAUUUUUGAAUAAAUAUGAUUUACAAAUAUUUAUUGAUUUAAAAUAAAUUAAAAUAAUUGUUACGUGCAGUUGCACGUACGUUCAACUAGUCUAUACUAUAUAACAAAGCACGUAUUUCAAAUUUCGGUCUAUCGAUAGACCCAUUUUUUUGCGAGAAUUGAAAAAAAAAAUUGAUUCCUCUUUUGUUACAUAAAAUAAAUAACAGAAUUGAACAAACUUUUAAUUCCUCUUUAUUUCUACAACAGAAAAAAAUUUUAUGCUUAUCUAAAUUUUUGCCUACAACAGAAAAAAAAAUUAUGCUUAUCUAAAUUUUUACCAACCAAAAAAUAUCUACUAUAAAUCUAUAUUUUAAGGGCUUUUUUGCAAAUAGCCCCCUAAUAAAUUUUAUUUGUAAAAAUAGCCCUGUCUAAAAUUUAUUUGCAAAAAUGGCCCUGGCCCUGCCACGCCAGCGCCACGUCAGCGUCACGCGGGCAGGGCCUGGGCCAGGUAGUCAAGUUGAACACGGUGAUUCGUUUACCGUGUAUAAACACGGUGAACCAAUCACCGUGUUCACAGUGUUACUCACGCCCCGCCGGGAUUUAGUUUGCAUUAGACACGGUGAUUCGUUCACCGUGUCUAAACACGGUGAACUGUUCACCGCGUUUAGACACGGUGAACCAUUUACCGUGUCCUUCACUUCC
rnacentral:lncRNA from 1 species